rnacentral:rRNA from 1 species
UACGGAGGGUGCAAGCGUUGCUCGGAAUUAUUGGGCGUAAAGGGUAGGUAGGUGGUCUCAUUUGUCUGGGGUGAAAGCCUUGAGCUUAACUCAAGAAGUGCCCCAGAAACGGUGAGACUGGAGUCCUGGAGAGGGUCGUGGAAUUCCCGGUGUAGCGGUGAAAUGCGUAGAGAUCGGGAGGAACACCAGAGGCGAAAGCGGCGACCUGGACAGGAACUGACACUCAACUACGAAAGCGUGGGGAGCAAACAGGG